CAGCAGCCACGGUAAUACGGAGGGAGCUAGCGUUGUUCGGAAUUACUGGGCGUAAAGCGCGCGUAGGCGGUUACUCAAGUCAGAGGUGAAAGCCCGGGGCUCAACCCCGGAACUGCCUUUGAAACUAGGUGACUAGAAUCUUGGAGAGGUCAGUGGAAUUCCGAGUGUAGAGGUGAAAUUCGUAGAUAUUCGGAAGAACACCAGUGGCGAAGGCGACUGACUGGACAAGUAUUGACGCUGAGGAGUGAAAGCGUGGGGAGCGAACAGGAUUAGAUACCCGCGUAGUCCCUGUCUCUUAUAC
rnacentral:rRNA from 1 species